rnacentral:rRNA from 1 species
UACGUAGGGGGCUAGCGUUGUCCGGAAUCAUUGGGCGUAAAGAGCGUGUAGGCGGUCCGGUAAGUCCGCUGUGAAAGUCGGGGGCUCAACCCUCGAAUGCCGGUGGAUACUGUCGGGCUAGAGUGCGGAAGAGGCGAGUGGAAUUCCUGGUGUAGCGGUGAAAUGCGCAGAUAUCAGGAGGAACACCUAUUGCGAAGGCAGCUCGCUGGGACGUAACUGACGCUGAGAUGCGAAAGCGUGGGGAGCGAACAGG